GUCGAGAAUAAUUCACAAUGGGGGCAACCCUGAUGGUGCAACGCCGCGUGGAGGAUGACGGUCUUCGGAUUGUAAACUCCUGUCAUCCGGGAGUAAGACCUGGGAGUUAAUAGCUCACAGGGUUGAUAGUACCGGAAGAGGAAGGGACGGCUAACUUCGUGCCAGCAGCCGCGGUAAUACGAAGGUCCCGAGCGUUGUUCGGAAUCACUGGGCGUAAAGGGAGCGUAGGCGGCGCGGUAAGUCAGAUGUGAAAUCCCGGGGCUCAACCCCGGAACUGCAUCCGAUACUGCCGUGCUAGAGGAUUGGAGAGGUAGCUGGAAUUCUUGGUGUAGCAGUGAAAUGCGUGGAUAUCAAGAGGAACACUCGUGGCGAAAGCGAGCUACUGGACAACUCCUGACGCUGAGGCUCGAAGGCCAGGGUAGCGAAAGGGAUUAGAUACCCGAGUAGUCC
rnacentral:rRNA from 1 species